UACGGAGGGGGCGAGCGUUGUCCGAAGUUACUGGGCGUAAAGCGCGUGUAGGCGGUCCGGUAAGUCCGCUGUGAAAGUCGGGGGCUCAACCCUCGGAUGCCGGUGGAUACUGUCGGGCUUGAGUACGGAAGAGGCGAGUGGAAUUCCUGGUGUAGCGGUGAAAUGCGCAGAUAUCAGGAGGAACACCAAUUGCGAAGGCAGCUCGCUGGGACGUUACUGACGCUGAGACGCGAAAGCGUGGGGAGCAAACAGG
rnacentral:rRNA from 1 species